GAUGAACGCUAGCGGCAGGCUUAAUACAUGCAAGUCGUGGGGCAGCAGGACUGUAGCAAUACAGUUGCUGGCGACCGGCAAACGGGUGCGGAACACGUACGCAACUUACCCUGAACUGGGGGAUAGCCCGGGGAAACCCGGAUUAAUACCCCGUAAUAUAAUGGAGUGGCAUCACUUUAUUAUUAAAGCUCCGGCGGUUCGGGAUGGGCGUGCGGCUGAUUAGGUAGUUGGUUGAGGUAACGGCUCACCAAGCCUACGAUCAGUAACUGGUGUGAGAGCACGACCAGUCAGAGGGGGACUGGGACACGGGCCAGACUCCUACGGGAGGCAGCAGUAAGGAAUAUUGGGAAAGGGAGGCAACUCUGACCCAGCCAUGCCGGGUGGAGGAUGAAGGCCCUCUGGGUUGUAAACUUCUUUUAUAGGGGACGAAACCUGUGUAUUCUUACGCAGUUGACGGUACCCUAGGAAUAAGCACCGGCUAACGCCGUG
rnacentral:rRNA from 1 species